CCAGUCUGAAAGUGACCCGAGGCGUUUGGUGGUCUGGGGUUAGAUAACUGGGCCUACAGUAACGUGGUGCAUAAAGCUCAUCACCUGUCUGACUGUGGCGGUGUGAUGAAACCCAUGCUUCAACAUGU
ensembl:snoRNA